GACCUAACCCUUUGAAGUAAUUUAGAGGCAUGGUCAAAAACGCGAUGAACAUAAAAAACCCGUUAUUAGGGCGUUCAUCGCGUUAUACAGGGAAACUUGUAUAGAGGUCGCAAGACCUU
rnacentral:sRNA from 1 species